rnacentral:lncRNA from 1 species
CUGGACGUCGUACUUCUGGGCGAGAUCAGUGUCCUCGGUGGCGUCGACCUUGGCGAGGGCGACUUGAUGGGCAAGAGGGGAGAGGUCGGCGGCGGCGGCGGCGUAGUCUGGGGCGAGCGCCUGGCAAUGGGCGCACCAGGGGGCGUAGAACUCGACCAUGACAUGGCGGUGGGAGGCGAGGAAGUCGGAGAAGUUGGCGGCGGAGAGGAGGAAGACGUGGGUCUCAUCUAUGGGAUGGUCCUGGGCCUGGCCAUGGUGGAAGAGGUCGUCGUCGUCGUCGUCGUCGGGGGAGCCCUCCUGGAGCCAGCCGUCGGGGUCGUUGGCGGGGAUGUCGUCGGCGUUGUCGAUGAGGUAGUCGAGGUCGUCGUCGGAGGCGGAGGCGGAGGCGUGGAGAAGAAGGGUGGCGAGGGCGACGAGGAGGAGAGAUCGGGAGCGCAUCGUUGCUUCCUCCGUUGCUCAC